AACGAACGCUGGCGGCAUGCCUAACACAUGCAAGUCGAACGAGACCUUCGGGUCUAGUGGCGCACGGGUGCGUAACGCGUGGGAACCUGCCCUUAGGUUCGGAAUAACUCCCCGAAAGGGGUGCUAAUACCGGAUAAUGUCUUCGGACCAAAGAUUUAUCGCCUUUGGAUGGGCCCGCGUUGGAUUAGCUAGUUGGUAGGGUAAAAGCCUACCAAGGCGACGAUCCAUAGCUGGUCUGAGAGGAUGAUCAGCCACACUGGGACUGAUACACGGCCCAGACUCCUACGGGAGGCAGCAGUGGGGAAUAUUGGACUAUGGGCGAAAGCCUGAACCAGCAAUGCCGGGUGAGUGAUGAAGGCCUUAGGGUUGUAAAGCUCUUUUACCCGGGAUGAUAAUGACAGUACCGGGAGAAUAAGCUCCGGCUAACUCCGUG
rnacentral:rRNA from 1 species